UUUACCUAAUCAAGCCUGGGCAAUGGCGGGCGCCCCUCCCCCCGCCUCGCUGCCGCCUUGCAGUUUGAUCUCAGACUGCUGUGCUAGCAAUCAGCGAGAUUCCGUGGGCGUAGGACCCUCCGAGCCAGUUCCCGAGAGAUCCCAUGAUCCAGAGACAAAGGUGGCAGCUUUGGAGCAAGUGGAGAGCCAGAAAAGGAUCCAGAACUGGAGUGGAAGCUGAAGCUAUGCCAUCUUUUAUGUCUGAUGAGGCAGUUUCAUCUGAUUUGAAGAUGAUGAAGAAAAGUUCUUUGCAAGGUUGCUUAUUGAAUAUUACUGGGAAAACAGGAAAAUUAGGAGGAAUGUUCUGGAGUGAUUUAUCUUUUUCAUCAGGGGCCCGCGUUCAGUCCAGCCACCAGAUCAACACAUUCUCCAAACUCAUUAACUUUGGAGAGGCUACCCAGAGUUCCUGAAGAGUUCAUCUGAAAAAUGUUGAAAUAGUCACAGCCCAUGGAAUCAAUGUUUUGGGUGCACCAAUGAAGAGUUAAACAGUAUGCAUUUGACCACACAUACU
rnacentral:lncRNA from 10 species